rnacentral:rRNA from 1 species
GACGAACGCUGGCGGCGUGCUUAACACAUGCAAGUCGAGCGGUAAGGCCCUUUCGGGGGUACACGAGCGGCGAACGGGUGAGUAACACGUGGGUGACCUGCCCUCAGCUCUGGGAUAAGCCCGGGAAACUGGGUCUAAUACUGGAUAUGACUCCACGGUGCAUGCCGUGGGGUGGAAAGGCCCUUGUGCGGCUGAGGAUGGGCCCGCGGCCUAUCAGCUUGUUGGUGGGGUGAUGGCCUACCAAGGCGACGACGGGUAGCCGGCCUGAGAGGGCGACCGGCCACACUGGGACUGAGACACGGCCCAGACUCCUACGGGAGGCAGCAGUGGGGAAUCUUGCGCAAUGGGCGAAAGCCUGACGCAGCGACGCCGCGUGA